GACGAACGCUGGCGGCGUGCCUAAUACAUGCAAGUAGAACGCACAGUUUAUACCGUAGCUUGCUACACCAUAGACUGUGAGUUGCGAACGGGUGAGUAACGCGUAGGUAACCUGCCUGGUAGCGGGGGAUAACUAUUGGAAACGAUAGCUAAUACCGCAUAAUAUUAAUUAUUGCAUGAUAAUUAAUUGAAAGGUGCAAUUGCACCACUACCAGAUGGCCCUGCGUUGUAUUAGCUAGUAGGUGAGGUAACGGCUCACCUAGGCGAAGAUACAUAGCCGACCUGAGAGGGUGAUCGGCCACACUGGGACUGAGACACGGCCCAGACUCCUACGGGAGGCAGCAGUAGGGAAUCUUCGGCAAUGGACGAAAGGCUGACCGAGCAACGCCGCGGGAGUGAAGAAGGUUUUCGGAUCGUAAAGCUCUGUUGUAAGAGAAGAACGGGUGUGAGAGUGGAAAGUUCACACUGUGACGGUAUCUUACCAGAAAGGGACGGCUAACUACGUG
rnacentral:rRNA from 1 species